rnacentral:rRNA from 1 species
CAUAGGUUAAUGAGGCGAACCGGGGGAACUGAAACAUCUAAGUACCCCGAGGAAAAGAAAUCAACCGAGAUUCCCCCAGUAGCGGCGAGCGAACGGGGAGGAGCCCAGAGCCUGAAUCAGUGUGUGUGUUAGUGGAAGCGUCUGGAAAGGCGCGCGAUACAGGGUGACAGCCCCGUACACAAAAAUGCACAUAUUGUGAGCUCGAUGAGUAGGGCGGGACACGUGGUAUCCUGUCUGAAUAUGGGGGGACCAUCCUCCAAGGCUAAAUACUCCUGACUGACCGAUAGUGAACCAGUACCGUGAGGGAAAGGCGAAAAGAACCCCGGCGAGGGGAGUGAAAAAGAACCUGAAACCGUGUACGUACAAGCAGUGGGAGCCUCUUUAUGGGGUGACUGCGUACCUUUUGUAUAAUGGGUCAGCGACUUAUAUUCUGUAGCAAGGUUAACCGAAUAGGGGAGCCGAAGGGAAACCGAGUCUUAACUGGGCGUUAAGUUGCAGGGUAUAGACCCGAAACCCGGUGAUCUAGCCAUGGGCAGGUUGAAGGUUGGGUAACACUAACUGGAGGACCGAACCGACUAAUGUUGAAAAAUUAGCGGAUGACUUGUGGCUGGGGGUGAAAGGCCAAUCAAACCGGGAGAUAGCUGGUUCUCCCCGAAAGCUAUUUAGGUAGCGCCUCGUGAAUUCAUCUCCGGGGGUAG